rnacentral:rRNA from 1 species
GUGCCAGCCGCCGCGGUAAGACGAGUCUCACGAACGUUAUUCGGAAUUACUGGGCUUAAAGGGUGCGUAGGCGGUGGAGUAAGUCGGAUGUGAAAUACCUUAGCUUAACUAGGGAACUGCACUCGAUACUACUUUGCUAGAGUAAGACAGAGGUGAGUGGAACUGAGGGUGGAGCGGUGAAAUGCGUUGAUAUCCUCAGGAACACCGGUGGCGAAGGCGACUCACUGGGUCUUUACUGACGCUGAUGCACGAAAGCUAGGGUAGCAAACGGGAUUAGAUACCCCGGUAGUCC